UUUUAAUUUUGCAAUAUUUUAUUUUAGUAUAUUAAAUGUAAGUUGUCUAUGUAUUUGCUAGUAAUUGGUUAAUAGAUGGAACACACACAUUUUAGUUUCAACUACUUUUUUGGCCCUGCCAUGACUGUUACUGAAGCUUAUAUACCUUUUUCACUUUGUUCAUUUGUCUUUAUAUUUAUUUUGGAAUUAGUUUAUUUCAGUUAGAUGCAUCAUUCAGAAACAUAAAGUUAUGAUUAUUCCAGUAUACCAACCCUCUUUGAUAGUGCUAUGCUAUACAUUACAGUCCCAUUCUGUAGAACAACACUUCUAAGCAACAUUUGUUUCACUAGGACUUACCUUUUGUACUUGUGUUUUGCAUAAGGGCCCAUCUGUCUGAAACUUAUGGGAAUAUAUAUUUUAUAGUAAAGUGCUAUUGAGUUUUUUCCAUUUUAACCAUCUUUUCAAUAUAUGUCUUCACAAAAUAAAGGGAC
rnacentral:lncRNA from 1 species